GUUAGAAUUCCGAUGACAGUAAUUCACGAACGAACGUAGAGAGUUUUGGUGCUGCUAAUGUGGCAGCGUUUUCUGUUGUUCUCUAUUUCUAUAUAAAGAAGAUACAUCCAGUAUUACAUGGUAACUAAUUAAUCACAGCACGCUCGUGAUCGGCUACUGCCAUCCCAGCACCCUGGGCCGUGCCGUGAAGGACGCGCGACAUGCGCUGCGUGCGCGAGCACCUGGAAGGCGAUCGCGUGCUAAUCUACUUGCUAAGAAUAGAAAAGCUAAUCUUGGGCUUACUAUAAC
rnacentral:lncRNA from 1 species